GAUGAAGAACGCAGCGAAAUGCGAUAAGUAAUGUGAAUUGCAGAAUUCAGUGAAUCAUCGAAUCUUUGAACGCACAUUGCGCCCGGCAGUACUCUGCCGGGCAUGCCUGUUCGAGCGUCAUUUCAACCCUCAAGCCCUGCUUGGUGUUGGGGUCCCACGGCCGCCGUGGGCCCUGAAAGGAAGUGGCGGGCUCGCUACAACUCCGAGCGUAGUAGAUUUUCAUCUCGCUCAGGGCGUGCUGCGGGUUCCGGCCGUAAAAAGCCUUAUUUACCCAAGGUUGACCUCGGAUCAGGUAGGAAGACCCGCUGAACUUAAGCAUAUCAAUAAGCGGAGGA
rnacentral:misc_RNA from 1 species